rnacentral:rRNA from 1 species
AUUGAACGCUGGCGGCAUGCCUUACACAUGCAAGUCGAACGGCAGCACGGGAGCAAUCCUGGUGGCGAGUGGCGAACGGGUGAGUAAUAUAUCGGAACGUGCCCAGUCGUGGGGAUAACGUAGCGAAAGCUACGCUAAUACCGCAUACGAUCUAUGGAUGAAAGCGGGGGAUCGCAAGACCUCGCGCGAUUGGAGCGGCCGAUAUCAGAUUAGGUAGUUGGUGAGGUAAAGGCUCACCAAGCCGACGAUCUGUAGCUGGUCUGAGAGGACGACCAGCCACACUGGGACUGAGACACGGCCCAGACUCCUACGGGAGGCAGCAGUGGGGAAUUUUGGACAAUGGGCGCAAGCCUGAUCCAGCAAUGCCGCGUGCAGGAUGAAGGCCUUCGGUUGUAACUGCUUUGUACGG